AAGAUCCCACCAGAAGGAACCAAUUCCGGACACACUGCUAGGAGACUGCUUCCAGUCAAAUGGAAUGCUCUUCCUCUGAUCAAGAAAUGAAUCCUACCAUAAAUUCAAACAUAUCUAUACAUACCUAUACAGAGUCCCAUCCUUUUAAAUUGGAAGAACUUUAUGAAAUUUUAGAGCUAGUUCUAAAGUGUGCAGAGAGAGAACUAGAGAUAUACUAAGGUUGAAAGGUAUUUGAUUCCCACCCCUACUUCAUCCUCUCUCCAGCCUCAUAAUAUAUGCCUUCUGUGUACGAGGGUGGACUUAAUAACUUUAUCUUUUUAAAUUAAAAAACGGAUCUAAUACUAGUUUACUUUCUCCAAGGAUACAGUAGUUCUCUUGGUAAUAAGAUCUUAGAUGUUCAUGCUUUUGACAAUCAUGGUUAACUUGCAGUUCGAGAACACGGCGGCAUGCCUGGUAACUGAACUACAAUUCCCAGAGUGCAUCUCUACAAGGAUUCUGGGAAGUGUGGCAGAAGCUGCAAUGGUCCCUCUGGGGAACGGAAGCCGUUGAACGUGAACAUCUGGUUUCCUCUUUUGUGCUGAUUCCUGAGGAGUAGGAAGGUGCCCCGAAAAGAAUUCAGAGACCUGACAAUGUUCCUGUAUUGUGGAAUAGCUUGCAGGAGAAAAUUUUUUUGGUGCUAUAGGCUGCUGUCAACCUAUGUUACUAAGACACGGUAUUUAUUUGAACUGAAGGAAGAUGAUGAUGCAUGUAGAAAAGCCCAGCAAACAGGAGCAUUUUACCUCUUUCAUGGUCUGGCUCCUCUGCUUCAGACUUCAGCACAUCAAUACCUGGCCCCCCGACAUAGCCUGUUAGAGUUGGAAAGGCUCCUGGGUAAAUUUGGACAGGAUGCACAAAAAAUAGAAGAUUCUGUGUUGAUUGGAUGCUCUGAGCAGCAGGAGGCAUGGUUUGCUCUGGAUCUAGGUCUGGAUAGCUCCUUUUCCAUAAGUGCCUCCUUACACAAACCUGAAAUGGAGACAGAGCUCAAGGGGUCUUUCAUUGAGCUGAGAAAGGCUCUCUUUCAACUCAAUGCAAGGGAUGCCUCCAUGCUGUCCACGGCUCAAGCUCUUCUCCGCUGGCAUGAUGCUCAUCAGUUCUGCAGCAGAAGUGGGCAGCCCACCAAGAAGAACGUGGCUGGCAGCAAGCGUGUGUGCCCUUCCAAUAAUAUCAUCUAUUAUCCACAGAUGGCUCCUGUGGUGAUCACGCUCGUGUCAGAUGGGACCCGAUGCCUGCUUGCCCGCCAAAGCUCCUUUCCCAAGGGAAUGUAUUCUGCCUUGGCAGGUUUUUGUGAUAUAGCUACAGGGCUGUCCUGAAUUAAUCUGAGUGCUUGUAGGUGAAAGUGUGGAAGAGACCAUCCGUCGAGAAGUUGCAGAAGAGGUGGGAUUGGAGGUGGAAAGCCUGCAGUACUGUGCAUCCCAGCACUGGCCCUUUCCUAGUGGCUCACUCAUGAUUGCUUGCCAUGCAACUGUGAAACCAGGGCAAACAGAAAUCCAGGUGAACUUGAGAGAAUUAGAGACAGCUGCCUGGUUCAGUCAUGAUGAGGUAGCCACAGCCCUGAAGAGAAAGGGCCCCUAUACUCAGCAACAGAAUGGGACUUUCCCAUUCUGGCUGCCCCCUAAGUUAGCCAUCUCCCACCAACUGAUUAAGGAGUGGGUGGAAAAACAGACCUGUUCUUCCCUGCCUGCUUAGCCCAGACCAAGUAACUUAGAUCACUCCUUGGUAUUCCUGAGGGACAAACUAGAGAUCAGUUGACAAAGAAGUGACAAAAGACAAGCUACAGGACCUCAGAAGGGCAGAGCAGAGGGUGAGCCUACAGUAAGACACUACUAUCAGCAGUGUUAAUGGAAGAAAUUCCUACCAAUGGGCAAUCAAAAAAGCCAGUGUGAGAAGAAAACUGAUGAGCUGUCAACUGUCAAAACUCAGGGGGAAGGCGGAAGCAUUAGUUUGGAUGUAGGCCCUUGUUCAGUCAUUUUCUCCAAGGCCUUGGAAACAAACAUCUUUUGGCAUAUGGCUUGUUAAUGUUGUGUUUACACUAACUGCCAAAAUGUGCCUGUUGUAAGUUUGGUUAAAACUUUUAUCUUAGUAUUGAAAAUAUAUAACAAGUUUCAAGUCAUUACUGAGUUACUUGUUACCCUUACAGAAUUAAGAAAAAUAGCACAGUAUAACAUAUUUAAAUUCAUGUACAGGUGCACUCUAGUUACAUGUACAUGGUAGUUAAAUAAAAGUCAUAAUUAAGUCAUUAUGACUCAGAGUACUUUAUAAUAAACCAGAUGCCAUGAGGCUCUGUUGAGGUAGUAGAAUCUCAAUGGGACUCCAGACAGUAAGUCUUUUUUGCUGUUUUCAGCUCUGUCACAUGCUCAGUUUGUGACCUAGGGAAAAGACUCCCGCUUUGCCAUGCCUGUUUUCCUAAAUAAAACAGUUGCUGGCAUUUGCACAUCCACAAUGUGUUGAUUAACUUUAGCAAAGGGAUUGGUGGAGAUAAACAGAUGCCAAACCUGACCUAUUUCUUAAACUUUAUGGAAUAAACUAAAUUUAGGAUUUCUCAUCAUUCAUAUAUGAUGCCAUAAGGGAGAAGAGAUUAUUUGGGGAAAAUAAAAUAAAUGUCCACA